rnacentral:rRNA from 1 species
CGUAGGGGGCUAGCGUUGUCCGGAUUUAUUGGGCGUAAAGAGCGUGUAGGCGGCCGGCUAGGUCUGGUGUGAAAACUCGAGGCUCAACCUCGAGAUGUCGCCGGAAACCAGUCGGCUAGAGUCCGGAAGAGGAGAGUGGAAAUUCCUGGUGUAGCGGUGAAAUGCGCAGAUAUCAGGAAGAACACCUAUGGCGAAAGCAGCUCUCUGGGACGGUACUGACGCUGAGACGCGAAAGCGUGGGGAGCGAACAGGAUUAGAUACCCUGGUAGUCCACGCCGUAAACGAUGGGCGCUAGGUGUGGGCGGUGUCGACUCCGUCCGUGCCGAAGCUAACGCAUUAAGCCGCCCCGCCUGGGGAGUACGGCCGCAAGGCUA